rnacentral:misc_RNA from 1 species
AAGUCGUAACAAGGUUUCCGUAGGUGAACCUGCGGAAGGAUCAUUCACAAUAAUCAAAUGACAACUUUAAUAUAUAUAUGUGAUAUGGUAUAUUGUUUACAAUAUAUUAUGUCAUAUGUAUAAUUAAAUUGUUGUUUUGUCCCUAACAAACCUAAAACAAACUGGUCCUCGUACUACCCUUUUUCUAACUAACCAAAUGCCUUACACGAUGUUGAUGUAACAGUCAAUUUUGUGUUUGGCGAGUACCACGUCUUGUUCUGAUCCUUGGUGGAUUCCGGAGUGAUGAACAUUCCAAUGUGAUAAAUAAGUCCUUACGUGGUGGAUUCCAUACAAGGCAUGUGUAGAAAUACGAAAUAUAUAUACAACUCUUUGCAAUGGAUAUCUUGGUUCUC